CUCUUUGAUUUUCCGGGAUAAAAAGUAGCCUAUGUCACUCUCUAGGUCUUUAACAAUGCCUAUGCAAAAAGUCACGUCGACUCGUUGCUCCGUUGCGACGUUAUUGAAGGACAAACCAACAAACUAAUAGACCAACAAACAAAC